GCGGACGGACCCAAAAUACCAAUUCCUCCAACACUUAACCGAAACUCGUAAACGAACACAUAAUCGUAAGAGCACAUCAAACCUCUCAUCUGGGUCUUCGCCGAUUGCGACCAAAUUCGCCCGAAAUUGCAGAAAUCCCGCCGGCAGGUCCGAACCUUCCAAGUUUUGAUUCUCUGUCCAAAGUUGAGGAUCCAAAAUACAGACACCAUAUGAUCCUUCACCCCACCGAGACGCAGAAACCGCUACCAGUCUCGCCAGCAGUCAUGGUCGAAGUCGGAAAAUCCGACUGGAAACCGCCAUGCACAGUGGAAACUUUCGAGCCUCAGGCCGCCGUCACAGCUCGCCCGUUUGAACCAAAGGGGACAAAGCCCCGCUUCGCACCUCCGAGACGAUUCCAACGUCACCGGUCCGCCGAACAGAGGUCGCCGGAAUCGAAAGGAGGAAUCGGGUCACCGUUAUGGGUUUUGGGGUCGAGGAACAGGGUCGACCAGUCUGGCUUCUUCUACACCGUCUCGAUUUUUAUACUCUAAAUGUAGUUAAUGAUACACGGCCCGGAUCAGUCGG
rnacentral:lncRNA from 1 species